GUCCCUGUAGCUUAACCCAAAGCAUGGCACUGAAGAUGCCAAGACGGUUGCCUCCCAUGCACCCAAGGACA